rnacentral:pre_miRNA from 1 species
AAUGGGAUAACUGGGUCAUAUGGUGGUUCCAUUCCAGUUUUCUGAGGAAUCUCCAUACUGCUUUCCAGAGUGGUUUCACCAUUUUGUGGUCCCAAUAGCAAU